rnacentral:rRNA from 1 species
GAGAGCAAGAGCCCGGAGACGGUAUCUGAGACAAGAUACCGGGCCCUACGGGGCGCAGCAGGCGCGAAACCUUUACACUGCACGAUAGUGCGAUAAGGGGACUCCAGGUGCGAGGGCAUAUAGUCCUCGCUUUUGUACACCGUAAGGUGGUGUACGAAUAAGUGCUGGGCAAGACCGGUGCCAGCCGCCGCGGUAAUACCGGCAGCACGAGUGAUGACCGCUGUUAUUGGGCCUAAAGCGUCCGUAGCUGGCCAGGCAAGUCUAUCGGGAAAUCCGCGCGCCCAACGCGCGGGCGUCCGGUGGAAACUGCUUGGCUUGGGACCGGAAGAUCCAGAGGGUACGUCCGGGGUAGGAGUGAAAUCCCGUAAUCCUGGACGGACCACCGGUGGCGAAAGCGCUCUGGAAAGACGGAUCCGACGGUGAGGGACGAAAGCUCGGGUCACGAACCGGAUUAGAUACCCGGGUAGUCCGAGCUGUAAACGAUGUCUGCUAGGUGUGGCACAGGCUACGAGCCUGUGCUGUGCCGUAGGGAAGCCGUGAAGCAGACCGCCUGGGAAGUACGUCCGCAAGGAUGAAACUUAAAGGAAUUGGCGGGGGAGCACUACAACCGGAGGAGCCUGCGGUUUAAUUGGACUCAACGCCGGACAUCUCACCAGCAUCGACAGUAGCCGUGAAGGUCAGUGUGAUGAGCUUACUGGAGCUACUGAGAGGAGGUGCAUGGCCGCCGUCAGCUCGUACCGUGAGGCGUCCUGUUAAGUCAGGCAACGAGCGAGACCCGCACUCCUAAUUGCCAGCAACACCCUUGUGGUGGUUGGGUACAUUAGGAGGACUGCCAGUGCCAAACUGGAGGAAGGAACGGGCAACGGUAGGUCAGUAUGCCCCGAAUGUGCUGGGCGACACGCGGGCUACAAUGGUCGAGACAGUGGGAUGCAACGCCGAAAGGCGACGCUAAUCUCCGAAACUCGAUCGUAGUUCGGAUUGCGGGUUGAAACUCACCCGCAUGAAGCUGGAUUCGGUAGUAAUCGCGCCUCAGAAGGGCGCGGUGAAUACGUCCCUGCUCCUUGCACACACCGCCCGUCAAAGCACCCGAGUGAGGUCCGGAUGAGGCCC